GACGAACCGUGCAAACGUUAUUCGGAAUCACUGGGCUUAAAGCGUGCGUAGGCGGCUAAGAAAGUUGGGUGUGAAAUCCCUCGGCUCAACCGAGGAAUUGCGCUCAAAACUACUUAGCUUGAGGAGUUAGAGGUGAGCGGAACUAAUGGUGGAGCGGUGAAAUGCGUUGAUAUCAUUAGGAACACCGGUGGCGAAAGCGGCUUCACUGGGACUCUUCUGACGCUGAGGCACGAAAGGCUAGGGUAGCGAACGGG
rnacentral:rRNA from 1 species